rnacentral:miRNA from 1 species
ACCGCCCCCGCCCCCCGCCAUCGCCUUGCAGGCUGACCUCUUACUUUCAGUCGGUCUUCCUCCCUGGGCUUGGUGUGGGGGCGGGGGAGUGUC